rnacentral:rRNA from 1 species
AUACGGAGGGGGUUAGCGUUGUUCGGAAUUACUGGGCGUAAAGCGUACGUAGGCGGACUGGAAAGUUGGGGGUGAAAUCCCGGGGCUCAACCCCGGAACUGCCUCCAAAACUUCCAAUCUAGAGAUCGAGAGAGGUGAGUGGAAUUCCAAGUGUAGAGGUGAAAUUCGUAGAUAUUUGGAGGAACACCAGUGGCGAAGGCGGCUCACUGGCUCGAUACUGACGCUGAGGUACGAAAGUGUGGGGAGCAAACAGGAUUAGAAACCCUAGUAGUCC